CGGCGCACAAGGAAGGGAGCUUGGACGGAGAAAUUGCUCACAAACAGAGGCACUGUUGGCAUCAAAUAAUGAGUAACCAGAGAUCUCAUAGAAGACUGCAAACUAUCACAGGGCAUUUAGCUAAAUCUCCUGGUUUGGAAACCUGUGCUCAAUCACCACANCAAACCCACAAGGAAUUUCCCGGGAGACAUGAUGAACUGAAGUGGAAUGGUUGGGGAUAUUCAGAUUCCAAGUUUGAUAUCAAUGAUAAAGGAAGGGCUUCUUUCACAGGGUCNAGAUAUUUGUUAAGUGGUCAAGUCUUUCCAAAGCUUGUGGAUUGGUUUGAAAAAGAAUGCAGUGCUGAUAUAACAAAAAAAAGCCCAGCAAAUCCUUUGCCAAAACCAGAAUCCCUGCCUAAACCAGUGAUAAAUGAAUCAUUCCUGGAGCAAAUGAAGCACUUGCACAUUGAACAUACUCUUGAUCCAAUCAUGAGGUUAAUGCAUGGUCAUGGCCACACUGGACAUGAAAUAUUUCUGUUGCGUCAUGGUCAUUUUGAGAGAAUUCCAGAUAUUGUGGUAUGGCCAAAAUGUCACAAAGAUGUGGAGAUGGUAGUGCAAGCNGCUGUCAAGUCUAAUGUGUGUAUUAUUCCCUUUGGGGGUGGUACAAGUGUGUCAAGUGCUNUAGAGUGUCCUAGUGAUGAGAACAGGAUGAUAGUGUCUAUGGACAUGACAGAGAUGAAGAGAAUAUUAUGGAUUGAUGAGGAAAACCUAGUUGCCCACAUUGAAGCAGGAAUCAUUGGAGAAGAUCUUGAACGGCAGCUUCAAGCUAAAGGUCUUUGUGUUGGUCANGAACCUGAUUCACUGGAAUUUAGUUCUCUUGGUGGCUGGGUCGCAACUCGUGCAUCAGGAAUGAAGAAGAAUAUCUACGGUAACAUCGAGGAUAUCAUAGUCCGUAUUAGAAUGGUAACACCUCAAGGAACUGUGGAGAAGAGCUGCCAGGUUCCACGCAUGUCUACAGGACCGGACAUUCAUCAUUUUAUUCUUGGUUCAGAAGGAACUCUUGGUGUAGUGACAGAGGUGACUCUACGCAUCCGUCCUGUCCCGCAAGCCAAGAUAUACGGAUCUGUCGUGUUCCCUACCUUUGAGGCAGGAAUUAUGGCUCUUCGUGAAGUUGCCAAGCAGCGUUGUGCACCAGCUUCUAUUCGCCUUAUGGACAACCAGCAGUUUCGUUUUGGCCAAGCGUUGAAGGGAGAGGAGGGGUCUUUUUUCAGGUCUCUUCUCGAUGGUAUCAAAGCUAUUUAUCUCACGAAGUUUAAAGGGUUUGAUCCAAAUACUUUGGCUGUGGCUACUUUACUAUUUGAAGGCACAAGCGAUGAAGUAUUGAUACAGCAGCGAAGAAUCUACGAGAUCUCUGCUAAGUUUGGAGGAAUUCCUGCUGGCGAAGACAACGGGAAAAGGGGAUAUAUGUUGACGUUUGUCAUUGCCUAUCUCAGAGAUCUGGGAUUCGAGCAUUAUUUUCUAGCAGAAUCCUUUGAGACGUCUGUUCCCUGGGACCGAGUCGCAACUCUUUGUGUGAAUGUGAAAGAAUGCAUCACAAGAACAUGUGCAGAGCUGGGAGUCANGUAUCGACCAUUAGCCACUUGCCGCGUCACACAGACCUACGACGCAGGAGCCUGUGUUUACUUCUACUUUGGAUUUAACUACCAGGGCAUCGAUCACCCUCUUGAAGUCUAUGAUGCAAUUGAGAGCGCGGCGAGAGAUGAGAUAUUGGCCAGUGGCGGUAGUCUUUCUCAUCACCAUGGAGUUGGAAAACUCAGAAAAAAAUGGUUACGAAAAACCAUUUCUGAUGUUGGCAUGGAAAUGAUAAAGUCAGUCAAGAAUUCAAUCGACCCAGAUAAUAUUUUUGGAAAUGGAAAUUUGUACUAGAUGAUAAUAUAUGNAACAUGGUAAACAUAUACGUUACAAAGUGAGGCUGAUAUAUUCAAUUGCUGAAAGGUUGUGGAUUGUGAUAUGUACUUAAGUAUAUGAUGAGAUUCAUAAAACAGAUNAUCAGAUGCAGUCAUCACUUUAAAUUUAUGACAAACAAGAGAAUAAUACCAAAUCAAUAACAUUCCAUGGGAAGAAUGCGCAUGUCUCAAUCUACAACCUUUUUGCAAUUGACUGUUUAUUAUUUCUGUGACUAUAUACCANGGUUUUUAAUUAUAUUCUUGAAUACUCUGCCUUCUGAAUAUUUUUAUUAGACAUUCAUAAUAAAUGCUCGAAAUGAUGAACACCAUCGCAAAAAAAUGAAAUGACAAUUACAACUUGCUGUUUUUAGGUAUUUUAUGAACAUGGACUGGGAAUAAUUAUUAAUAACAAAAAUGAGAUUAGGAUAAUACAAUUGAAACAAGAAUNUAUUCUGAUAAAAAUAAUAAUUCACGAUUUUGUGAAAAGUAAUGAAACUCAGUACGAAUUGAAUAACUGGGACGGAUUGUUCAAAGCUCCAUUACCGCUACUCUUGAACUAACUCGUAAAAGGACAUGGAUUAAACCUGUAGAGGAGGCUACUCUANAUGAAUUCUUUAUAUUACUAUAAUUAUUUGAUUUCUAGAAACUAUUAAUUUAAGGUAAAGGAGUAAAAACCCGUAAUAAAUUGUAUGAAGUGUAUUGUUCUCAGAGUGAAGGGUUUAGAGAUCCCUUUCUUAGUCUAUGAGUAUUUCUAAAUCAAAUGACCGAUUUUAUAUAUCAUAACUUAAUAACUAGAAGCAAAGGAAUAAAGUGAGAACAUGUUUUCUCAGAAUUUAAUUACAAGAGAUAACUGGCGCUAUACUUGUGGUGUGUUGUCUCGGUUUUUCUAAUAAAUAGUGAUUACGAGAAAAAUCUGCAUACACCGUAUAAAGGUAGACACAUCAACAAUUUUGGAAGUUAUUCUUUUUUCGGUUACUGUAUUACUCUUGUCUUUUGCUACGCGCAAAAUAAAAUAUCUUGAUUUCUCAUUC
rnacentral:misc_RNA from 1 species